rnacentral:snRNA from 1 species
AUCUCUUCUUGUCCUUUUGGCUAAGAUCAAGUGUAGUAUCUGUUCUUAUCAUUUUAAAAAUAUUAUUCAAAAGCUGAAGUAUUAAAAUAGCAACAUCUAAGAUUUUUAAGCAUAGACUCAACUGUUAUUUUUUUUAAAUUUUUUUAUUGGAGUUCAAUUUGCCAACAUAUAGCAUGACACCC